rnacentral:tRNA from 6 species
GGAGAGAUGCCGGAGCGGCUGAACGGGACGGUCUCGAAAACCGUAGUAGGGGCAACUCUACCGGGGGUUCAAAUCCCCCUCUCUCCGCCA